CGCCCUAAUAUUUCAGAUUGGCCGAUGAAAUGCAGCCCGCAUGUGCACAAGUCUCGGCCAAAAGCAUCCUGAUGGGAGCAUUAAAACCCAAAAGAGUUUUCAUUCAUCCCUUCAGUACGCUUGCCCUUCAGUACGCUUGGCCUCGAUCAUACCACAAUAAAAUCCAAGGGAAAAAUGUUAACACUAUUGUAAUUAGAUAGUUUAGAGACUGAAUAUUUCUGUGUUUUUAUUAAUGAAUAAAGGGGGUUCCUUAUAUAAGGAUUACAAGAUAAAGAUAAAAGGAAAGAGUACAAAUCCUAAUCCAUCUAGAUUUACGAAAACUACUAAAACAUAAACCUAUAAGGAAAAAGGAAAUAGGGUUUCCUUUUCUCUUAGUCUAGUGGCCGCCUCUCUCUCUCCUGAAGUCGGCUCUCUUUCUCUCCUCUCUCUAGGGUUUCCGAACCUCUCUCUAUCUUCUAUGUAUUGGGCCGGUAUUGGGUCGGGCCUGGUUAAUGGCAAUCCACUCCAUGAUUUAUAACACUCCCCUUUGGAUGCCAUAACCAUACAUGAUAUUUAGUACGCUUCAUGUUGCCUCAUUAAAACCUUAUUAGGAAAACCCAGUGGGACAAAACCAUGAUGAAGGAAAAAGAGUACAACACGCACUACUCCCCCUGAUGUGAACCUCAGUGUAGGUUCUACAUUCAACGCAUCUCAUGCGUGAUCUUUCCUGUAUAUGUAGGAAGGGAGUAAUAGGCCAGUUCCAUUACUAAGCCGUAACUAGACCACUUCGACCUCUUAGGUCGUUUCUCAUGUCCUUUGACAUUGAGUGUCCGGUAAAGCAUGUGUGCUAAACAAUAUGAACCAUAUUGUCCUUGGAGAUCACUAUUGGGUCUUUGCAAAUCGUGUUUGCAUGCAUCCAUAGUCUAGACGUGAUCAUCUACUGCCAAACUCUUUACUUUGGCUAUUUAUGGUUUACCAUUCGACCAUGUUUCAAUCUGGCUGAUCCAUGUCCGGGUCAUAGACCUCGUCUAUACAUGUCCACUACUUGUCUCAUGAGUGUUCAAGAUCAAUGAUCAUUGCUGUGAGUUUAUAAUCUCUUAUUAUGGCUCUGUGGCCGAACACUCUCAUGUAUCUCUCAUGUAGACAUCAAUCUCUUUGCCUUUACACAGCAGUAGCAAACUGUUUGCUAUGCCGGAUCCUAAUCAAUGGAUCUGAUGUCGGAUUUGCAACCUGAUGGCUGAUCUUUCGACUAGCUCGUGAUCGAGAAGAAAGGGCCGGACGCUUUUGGCCUGAGGGCUGGACGUCUUUAGUAGAAGGGGCCGGACACUUUUAAGCCGAUGGGCCGGACGUAUUUAGCCGGAGUGUUGGACGCCUUUAGCCAGAGGGCCGGAUGCUUUUGGUCGGACACCCACAUAGAUUUAUUCUAUGUCUACUAACCUCUUUUAGGUUUAGUAUAAGCACAAGGAAUUUCUUUAUUUCUUUCAUAUGUAUAUGGACUGUAUUGGAUUGUCUUUUAUACAACUCCAAGAUCAUUUUGUGAUCAAUUUCUUUUACAUACUAUAUGCAGCUGCUUUUCAGUCCAUGAAUCAGCUUAGGAACAAUGCUGUUCUUUCAUCUUUAUCCAGUGAUCCAUAUGCUGCUUUACUAUAUCAUUAUUGUAUCUAAUUCUUUCUCAUGACCAGACUUUUGUCAAUUUUGAAACUCUGUAGCAGCAUCCACCACAUAGGAGUUUAUCUCCUUAUAAUCUGUUCCUUUGAUCUCUGUGACCACCUUGUGUAACAAGCUAUAAUUUAAUGCUGUUAGUAGGAAAACAUGAACACUCUAGACCUCGUGAUCAUGUGCCUUUUCUCACGGUUUCUUUAUCUCACAAGAUCCAUCUAUUUCACUGGUUUAUCAGAUGGCGUUUCUGUAUAUGUAUAUGGCCAAUACGCCCAUCUCUCCUUUAGAUACUUUGAACCUCCACGUUUAUCUUUCAAUCUAAUCUUUAUUCUUUAUGAUGGUAUCAAGUACUCUUUCGUGGGUUCAUGAUCCUCGUUCAUCUCUUUAUGUUCAAGUGCUACUCUCUUAUGCAUCUUUAUAUAAUAUUCAUGUGUGUGUCGACACUUUCAUAUGGUUCCAUUAUGUUCCAGACAUGAUCUAAUCACUUUGAGAUUUCGUUAUCUAGGACCUUUGUUACCUAGUAGCUUGGCGUCCCAAGUUACAUGGUCUGGUACCUUAGAUGUUUAGCUGGCCAGCCUUAUCUCUAUGUCAGGUCUGGUUUCCCUUAUGAAUCUCGGAUUUGUUUUUCUAUGCACCAUUCUUUUCUAUCCAGGAUUCCUUUAUCUUAUGGAACACUUGGUCUAUCUUGUAUAGACUCUAUAGCAACUUGACUAUGUCUCUUCUAGGACAUUCAUUUGGUGCUAAGCUGGUUCUCUUUUCUUUUCUAGGGUCACUGUCUGGCAUCUCGAUUAGCUUCUCAAUUAGCUAGCUUUGUAUAAUCUUUCUUUUGACGUCUUAAAUCAUAAUGUAUAGUCCAAGGAUCUUUGCCAAGACAAUGAUGGUUAAAACCAUUCUUAUCAUUCUUUAUCCAGCUUAUAAUCUUUCUCCUUUAAUAUUGAAUAGACGGAUUCAUUGAUCAUGCAACCCGUGUACCUGGCCACAAUCUAAUCACCCAUGUUUGGCUCAAGUUUUCUUUGAAUUCGUGGGAGAAAGUAAUACUCCUAUCCAAUAUAUAUUCCCAAUCCUCUUCUGAGGUUCCAUCUUAGACGACACAUAUAUGUAUGUGUUGGUUUAUUCAAAAUCUCUUAAGAUGGUGUAUGUCUUGUUUUAUGACCCGUAUCAAUAUGAGAUGGGAAUAUCUAUGCUCAUUUAUAUGGCCUGAUGCAUAUUAUCAUUCUAUACAUGUAAAUCAUAAUGUCCCCAAGCUAAUAGACUUUUUAGAGUCUUAGUCUUAUAGGUAAUGGCUUACAUGGCCGAACCUUUAUAGGUAAUGGCUUAUUUGGCCGAACCUUUAUAGGUAAUGGAUUGUGUGCGGCCAAGCCUACACUAUACGGCCAAGUCAUGGCCAAGUCAUGGCCAAGUCAUGGCCAAGUCAUGGCCAAGUCACGGCCAAGUCAUGGCCAAUUCACGGCCAAGUCACUGCCAAGCCGUUUAUAGGUGAUGGCCUUUGCGGCCGGCCUGUUCUUUGGUUUGGCCGUUUGUAUCAUGGCCAUCUACGGCCGAGGAAAGGUCUUUUAUGGCCGAGGAAAGGUCUUUUAUGGCCGAGCCAUUUAUAACAUGGUCUUUAGACCAUAGUGGUACACGAACUUGUAGUAUUGAUCAUGGGUUUAUCCUCUCUCCCCCUCAUGACCAUACUAAAAUUUCGUGAUGCUUGGGACAAUUAAGCCUAAUGAGUUUCCCUAUGUGUACAUGUUUAACAACGUGAGAUCUUUACGGGAUAACUCUGUGCCUUUUCAAUAUGAAUCUUUGCAUCAAGUUUUGGACUAAGAUGGCUAAUCCUAUCAUGCCAUAUAAUGUAUAAUUUCGUGGUGUAUCUCAAUAUAGUCACCACUUCUCUUGCCUCUUAUCAUACUGAUCUAUAGCAUAGUUUUAAAUCAGUAGAGAUCAUAGGUAUAGUCUCGUCCAUUUUCUUAUAAGGUCUUAGGCAUUUUUGUUUCUUUUAAAACCAAAGGAACUUGUUUCCUUCUUGCCCAUUGUUUCUAUUUGGAAACCAUUUAUUAUAACUUCAAUGGGUCACACAUUCUUUGGGUGUAUAUAAUGCCCUUAUAGGCAAUGCCUUAGCCAUAGUUUCUUUACUAGGCUUACUAUACCCCUUUCACGAUUUCUUACUUGGUAUUAUGCCCUUUAGGCAACUCUCUAUCAAUGGAAACAUUCAUAUGUUCAAGUAAGAUCAGGCAAGAUUCAAUAAACUCAAAACCAAUUCCAUUAUAUAUAUAUAAAAAUCGUGAAUGACAAUUUUAGGUUAAAGCAAAUCACAAUUCAAAGACUUAAAACAAAAUUAUCAUGUCGAGAUCUUUCUUUAGUCAAGGUAUAAGCCGGCCUCACAAUCUAUAUUUUCCCAUGCGGCUUCCUUGGAUUCAUCCUGAUCAUUUGUAGCCUCAUUGGCUUCAGGAGGUCUCAUCUCACUGUUUCGUUGCUCAUUGUAUCUUUUCUGAAGUUUCUCAAAUCUGCUAAUGGUAUCUUUAAUUUUCUGCUCUCUUUGCUUAAUUGCAAAUAAGUAUGACAAUAGGUCAUUAUAGGUUGUGAAACCCUUAGCCUUAUGUAACAACAGCACAUCCUUUGGAUGGAAUGUGGAAUAUGUUUUAUACAGUAAAUCAUUAUCUGUAACCACUUCAUCACAUAGUUCAAGACUAUAGGCGAUUUUCAUUAGAGCAGGAUGAUAUUCUUCCACAGAUUCAAAAUCCUGGAACCUGAGAAGCUUCCAUUCAUUCAUGGCUUUUCGCCAAAAUAUCAUUGAGUAUCUGGAUUCUAGUAUUGUCCAAAGUUCACAAGGAUCCUCUAUAUUUUCAUACUGAUUUCUCAGUUCCUCAGUGAGAUAAUAGCGCAUAAUUGUUAUGGCUCUAUGCUUUUCACUUUCAAUUGCAUUAUUGCCUUCAGUAAUACAUCUCCCGAGUCCUCUAGACUUCAGGGCAAUUGAAGUGUUCAUUUCCCAUUCUUGAUAAUUAUCUCCAGAGGGAUUUAGUGCAGCAUAAUCCGAAGGCUCGAAUCUCGACAUCUGAAAUCAUUAAUCAAUUCUUGAUUUAAAAUUCUUGCAACCAAU